UACGGGGGGGCAAGCGUUGUUCGGAAUUACUGGGCGUAAAGGGCGCGUAGGCGGCCUCCGCAAGUCGACUGUGAAAUCUCCGGGCUUAACCCGGAAAGGUCAGCCGAUACUGCGGGGCUAGAGUGCAGAAGGGGCAACUGGAAUUCUCGGUGUAGCGGUGAAAUGCGUAGAUAUCGAGAGGAACACCUGCGGCGAAGGCGGGUUGCUGGGCUGACACUGACGCUGAAGCGCGAAAGCUAGGGGAGCGAACGGG
rnacentral:rRNA from 1 species